rnacentral:rRNA from 1 species
CGUAGGAGGCGAGCGUUGUCCGGAUUCAUUGGGCGUAAAGAGCGCGCAGGCGGCUUGGUAAGUCGGAUGUGAAAACCCGAGGCUCAACCUCGGGCGUGCAUCCGAUACUGCUCGGCUAGAGGUAGGUAGGGGAGAUCGGAAUUCCUGGUGUAGCGGUGAAAUGCGCAGAUAUCAGGAGGAACACCGGUGGCGAAGGCGGAUCUCUGGGCCUUACCUGACGCUCAGGCGCGAAAGCUAGGGGAGCGAACUGGAUUAGAUACCCAGGUAGUCCUAGCUGUAAACGUUGGGUGCUAGGUGUGGGCGGAUGUCGACCCCGUCCGUGCCGAAGCUAACGCAUUAAGCACCCCGCCUGGGGAGUACGGCCGCAAGGCUA